GCCACAUGACAAUGGUGGACAUACGAACCGUGUCAGGUCUGGAAGGAAGCAGCACUAAGUAAGGCUUCACCAUGUGUCAUGUGUACAU
rnacentral:SRP_RNA from 1 species